AUGCUAUGGCACACACAGAUCACGCCACAGCUGCGUGGGGCCGGUGUCUUCAGCUACGUUGAUGGCACCUCGCCAGAGCCGGCCAAGCUCCAAGCCGCCAAGGACAAGGACGGCAAGGAGACCUUUGCGCCCAACCCUCUCCACCCCAUCUGGGUCAGGGAGGACCAGAAGGUGCUUGGCUACCUGCUGAGCAACCUCUCCAAAGAGGUGCUAGUCACGGUGACCACAAUCACCACGGCGCAUGCGCUAUGGACGACACUCGCCGGCAUGUGCUCGUCGUAUUUGCUGAGCCGCGUCAACAAUAUUCAUACCUCGCUCAUCAACGCGCAGAAGUGCAACCAGUCCGCCGUCGCAUACUUCGCCACCAUGCACGGCCUCGCGGACGAGCUGUCCGCGGCCGGCAAACCCAUCCAGGAUGAUGAACUGAUCUCAUACAUCCUCCACGGGCUAGAUCUGGAGUACCAGCCCCUCGUCUCCGCCCUCGAUGCCCGCAUCAGCCCCGCCUCCCUCGACGAAAUCUUCUCCAUGCUCAGCAAAUUUGACCAGGCAUGGUGCAGUUCCAGAACUCGGGCGGCGGUGGCUUCAAGUCCUCCGCCAACCUCGCUACCCAUGGACGUGGUGGCGGCCCUCACUACCGUGGUCCUUCCCGUGGCAAGGGCAGGUCUGGUGGCGCCAGAACCAGCAGCAAUGGCGGAACCAGUGGUGGUGGCAGCCGUGGCAAGAGGGGUCGCCGUGGUAGCGGCUCUAGCAUAA
rnacentral:rRNA from 1 species